rnacentral:rRNA from 1 species
AGCGUAGGCGGGAUCGUGGGUCUGUCGUGAAAUCCACCGGCUCAACCGGUGAACUGCGGUAGAAACUACGAUUCUUGAGUUCGGUAGAGGAAUGCGGAAUUCCUGGUGUAGCGGUGGAAUGCGUAGAUAUCAGGAAGAACACCGGUAGCGAAGGCGGCAUUCUGGGCCGUAUCUGACGCUGAGGCUCGAAAGCCGGGGGAGCGAACAGGAUUAGAUAACCUGGUAGUCC